GUUAGUGAAAAGUAAUGGUGGGCGAAAGGUCUGCAUAAUUUGUGGGGGAAAAGGAACAAACUGAGCCAUUCUGGACCUGAGGCCAGGGGAUUGCUGAAAGGAAAGGGAAAUCUGUGCUUCCCUGAGAGUAGCUGAGCAUGUUGAGAGCAGAGACACUUCCACGGUGCAGGAUGAGACAAGUUGUAGCCCAGCAUCCUUGAAGGAGCAGACCCAGAGGAGCACAAAGGGGACUUUCCUGAGGCACACAGAGAGGACUGUGUUGGAGGAGAUUCAACUCGGAAGCCGUAAAAGUCACUUGCCUGAAAAGCGGGACUGGGAGAAAGGACUACCCUGCAAAGACUGA
rnacentral:lncRNA from 1 species